GGCGAGCGAACGGGGAACAGCCCUUAAGCUGUAUUGAAUGUAGUGGAAUCCUUUGGGAAGAGGAGCGAUACAAGGUGAUAGCCCUGUACACGACGCAAUCUUUACAGUGAAAUCGAGUAGGUCGGGACACGUGUUAUCUUGACUGAAUAUGGGGGGACCAUCCUCCAAGGCUAAAUACUCCUAACUGACCGAUAGUGAACCAGUACCGUGAGGGAAAGGCGAAAAGAACCCCUGUGAGGGGAGUGAAAUAGAACCUGAAACCGUAUACGUACAAGCAGUGGGAGCACCUUCGUGGUGUGACUGCGUACCUUUUGUAUAAUGGGUCAGCGACUUAUAUUUAGUAGCAAGGUUAAGUGAAUAACGGAGCCGUAGCGAAAGCGAGUGUUAACUGCGCGUUGAGUUGCUAGGUAUAGACCCGAAACCCGGUGAUCUAGCCAUGAGCAGGUUGAAGGUUGAGUAACAUCAACUGGAGGACCGAACCCACUAACGUUGAAAAGUUAGGGGAUGACUUGUGGCUGGGGGUGAAAGGCCAAUCAAACCGGGAGAUAGCUGGUUCUCCCCGAAAUCUAUUUAGGUAGAGCCUCGGACGAAUUCCAUUGGGGGUAGAGCACUGUUAAGGCUAGGGGGUCAUCCCGACUUACCAACCCUUUGCAAACUCCGAAUACCAAUGAGAACUAUCCGGGAGACACACGGCGGGUGCUAACGUCCGUCGUGGAGAGGGAAACAACCCAGACCGCCAGCUAAGGUCCCAAAAUAUUGCUAAGUGGGAAACGAUGUGGGAAGGCACAGACAGCUAGGAGGUUGGCUUAGAAGCAGCCACCCUUUAAAGAAAGCGUAAUAGCUCACUAGUCGAGUCGGCCUGCGCGGAAGAUGUAACGGGGCUAAGCAAUAUACCGAAGCUGCGGCAGCAUGUUUACAUGCUGGGUAGGGGAGCGUUGUGUAAGUGGAUGAAGGUGAGUUGUAAAGCUUGCUGGACAUAUCACAAGUGCGAAUGCUGACAUGAGUAACGAUAAUGGGAGUGAAAAACUCCCACGCCGGAAGACCAAGGUUUCCUGUCCCAUGCUAAUCAGGGCAGGGUAAGUCGGCCCCUAAGGCGAGGCAGAAAUGCGUAGUCGAUGGGAAACGGAUUAAUAUUUCCGUACUUAUAUAAUCAGUGAUGGAGGGACGGAGAAGGCUAGGCAAGCUUGGCGUUGGUUGUCCAAGUGAAAGCGAGUAGGCCGAGAAUUUAGGUAAAUCCGGAUUCUUAAAGCUGAGACGCGAGACGAGCUCCCAAGGGAGUGAAGUUGUUGAUGCCCUGCUUCCAGGAAAAGCUUCUAAACUUAUGAUUAUAUGAACCGUACCCCAAACCGACACAGGUGGUCAGGUAGAGAAUACUAAGGCGCUUGAGAGAACUCGGGUGAAGGAACUCGGCAAAAUUGUACCGUAACUUCGGGAGAAGGUACGCCUCUGUUUGUGAACACUUCGCGUGGUAAGCAAAUGGAGGCCGCAGUGACCAGGUGGCUGGGACUGUUUAUUAAAAACACAGCACUCUGCAAACUCGUAAGAGGACGUAUAGGGUGUGACACCUGCCCGGUGCCGGAAGGUUAAUUGAUGGGGUUAGCGUAAGCGAAGCUCUUGAUCGAAGCCCCGGUAAACGGCGGCCGUAACUAUAACGGUCCUAAGNNNNNNNNNNNNNNNNNNNNNNNNNNNNNNNNNNNNNNNNNNNNNNNNNNNNNNNNNNNNNNNNNNNNNNNNNNNNNNNNNNNNNNNNNNNNNNNUUCGCGAAGCUCUUGAUCGAAGCCCCGGUAAACGGCGGCCGUAACUAUAACGGUCCUAAGGUAGCGAAAUUCCUUGUCGGGUAAGUUCCGACCUGCACGAAUGGUGUAACCAUGGCCACGCUGUCUCCACCCGAGACUCAGUGAAAUUGAAAUCGCAGUGAAGAUGCUGUGUACCCGCACCUAGACGGAAAGACCCCGUGAACCUUUACUACAGCUUGGCACUGAACAUUGAACCUACAUGUGUAGGAUAGGUGGGAGGCUUUGAAGCACAGUCGCUAGAUUGUGUGGAGCCGUCCUUGAAAUACCACCCUUGUAUGUUUGAUGUUCUAACAUUGGUCCCUUAUCGGGAUUGUGGACAGUGUCUGGUGGGUAGUUUGACUGGGGCGGUCUCCUCCCAAAUAGUAACGGAGGAGCACGAAGGUUAGCUAAUCACGGUCGGACAUCGUGAGGUUAGUGCAAUGGCAUAAGCUAGCUUAACUGCGAGACAGACACGUCGAGCAGGUACGAAAGUAGGUCAUAGUGAUCCGGUGGUUCUGUAUGGAAGGGCCAUCGCUCAACGGAUAAAAGGUACUCCGGGGAUAACAGGCUGAUACCGCCCAAGAGUUCAUAUCGACGGCGGUGUUUGGCACCUCGAUGUCGGCUCAUCACAUCCUGGGGCUGAAGUCGGUCCCAAGGGUAUGGCUGUUCGCCAUUUAAAGUGGUACGCGAGCUGGGUUUAGAACGUCGUGAGACAGUUCGGUCCCUAUCUGGUGUGGGCGUUGGAUGAUUGAUGGGAGCUGCUCCUAGUACGAGAGGACCGGAGUGGACGAACCGCUGGUGUUCGGGUUGUCAUGCCAAUGGCAUUGCCCGGUAGCUACGUUCGGAACGGAUAACCGCUGAAAGCAUCUAAGCGGGAAGCCGGCCCAAAGAUGAGUCAUCCCUGACCUUUAAGGUCUGGAAGGGUUGUUAUAGACGAUGACGUUGAUAGGCAGGGUGUGGAAGCGUUGUAAGGCGUUAAGCUAACCUGUACUAAUUGCCCGAGAGGCUUAACCAU
rnacentral:rRNA from 1 species